AGCUUUGCACAGUGUCAGUAUCGGAGCCAAUGAGGUUUAUCUGAGGUGCGAUUAUUGCUAAUUGAAAACUUCCCAAUACCCCGCCAUGACGACUUGAAAUAUAGUCGGCAUGGGCAACUUUGACAGUCUCUAUGGAGA
rnacentral:snRNA from 1 species